GUUUCAAUUCCUCAUAGGCAGGCUAUCGGCUUCCUUCCAAUUCAUAGUCAUUUUAAACCAACCUCCG
rnacentral:sRNA from 1 species